AAGAUGUGCAAGAGCUUAUAUUUACCCAGGUGCCUAAACUGCUGAAAGCCCUAAUUCCAAUUCAGACAAUGCAUCUUACCAUUAUUGUAACUCAUCUGAAAACAGAAGAUGAUAUUAAAAGGGCUAUUUCUGCUCUCGAGCACAGCAAGGCUGAAGUGCAAGCUCUGUUGCAGAGGGAACUCUUCAGCAUGACAUUUCGUGGGAUCGGCCAGUUUAACAACAAAGUGAUUUAUGUUAAAAUGUCAGCAGAUGAACAGCAAAUGCUAAGCAAAAUUGAAGGAAUUGUAGCAAACUCUUUUAUGGAAAUGAAUAUAGUUAUAUUACAAGCAGCAGAGACUUCAAACCACACCUGACAUUUCUAAAGCUCUCCAAAGCCUCUGCACUGAGACGGAAGGGCUUCAGAAAAAUUUAUAAAGGCUUGUAUAUGGAAUAUAAAGAUACUCCUUUUGGCACAGAGCUAUUAAGACGAAUUGAUCUCUGUGCCAUGCAUAAAAAAAAGCAAGAUUCUGGUUACUAUCACUGUGAAUAUUCAAUUAAUAUAUGCCCCAUAAAUUCUGAAGAUAAUAGAAACAUGGAACAGCAGGCUGAUGCCCUGAAAGAAAAGUGAACCAGGUGUUCCUUUAAAUUAUGGUGCAUAUAAAGUUAUUAAAACAGUACAUGGAGACAAUGAUCUUGCUGCUCAAUGAAAUUGUAAUGAAGCUGGAAAACUUGCUGGAGACUCCGUAAUCAGGAGGAAGUGAAGAUA